UUUAUUUCUUGGGGGUGAGACUGGAAAAGGGGAGAUAUGUUUCAUUUUAAGCCUGUUUGAAAUUUUUUACCAUGGGCACUUACUGCUUUUGUAAACAAGGAAUUCUUUCAUGUUUAAAACAUGGUGGUGAGCAGUUGCUGAGCCGCGCAGGGCAGGACUCCUCCUCUCGCUCCAGCUGCUUGUUAGCAUCGAGUCUCCGGGUAAUUUUGACAGCGCCAAGCAAGCCCCAGAGCUGAGUGCCAACACGUCACUCUACAGAGUGCCCUGUGCUGGUCAUUAGAGCCCUGCUCCUGUUCUGUGGCUAUAAUCCUAGCACUUUGGGAGGCCGAGGCAGGUGGAUCACCUGAGAUCAAGAGUUCGAGACCAGCCUGGCCAACAUGGUAAAACCCUGUUUCUACUAAAAAUACAAAAAUUAGCUGGGCGUGGUGGUGGGCACCUGUAAUCCCAACUACUCGGGAGGCUGAGGCAGGAGAAUCACUUGAACCCAAGAGGCAGUGGUUGCAGUGAGCCGAGAUCAUACCAUCGCACUCCAGCCUGGGCAACAGAGCAAAAACUCCGUCUCAAAAAAAAAAAAAAAAAAAGACAAAACAGAACAAACAGAAGCAGCCCUUUCUGGGUAGCAAGGGCCGCGGUGGUGGCAGUGGCUGGUGGCUGGUGGCUGGCAGCUUGAUUUCCUACCUCAAGCUCCCUGAUGCCUGCUGGAAGGGUUCUCCAGACAGCCCGACUGCAGCUGGAGCCACAGGUACCAGGCCUGAAGACCAAGCAAUAAAUCAUUAGCAGAUUGGCCCACGGAUCACUUCCCUUUUGGGGCGCUGCCUGGCACUUCCCAAGAGGAAGAAAUUUAUCAGCACUUGGCUGGCUGCCCUGUGCUCGCACAGUCGCGGGCUCCCAGUAGGUCACACCGAGUGGCCCCUCCUCCUCAGACACAGGGCUGUGCCUGGGGAGGCCCAAGAAAGCCAAAGAAUAGGCCACGGGCUCAGAAGACAGGGUGAGAAACACUUAGUCAGCAUAAUCCCUGCCAAUCACACCAGGGCUUCCGGUAAUACCAAGAGGGGAGCGGGUGAGAAGGUGGAUUCUGAAUCUGACCACGUAACUCUGCACUGCCACGAAGGCCCCAGCUCAUGCCCCGCGCUCAGCAGAGAGUGGGCUUGGGCCUCAUCUUCCUGUAACCGGGGGCUGGGGACCACUUUGAUCUCACUGUUCCCCUUGCUGCUGUUCACACCAGUACGGCGCCUUCAAGAAGUUAUCCCAGGGCAAUUUUCCACCUUUGAAGUCCCCGGAAAACCCUGCCAAAAGCCGUUCUGGUGUGAGGAUGCUGCAGGGGCAGGCAGCCUGGUGCCGCGGCCUCCCGGGUGCCAGAACUGGAACAUCGAGACAUCAAAGGCGAAGGUGGCAGCAGGGCGAUGAGUAAGCUCCGCUGCAGGCUUGGCCUCGGCCCCAGAAGCCUUCUCCUCAUCUCCCAGUGGUGGCUGAGCAGGACUAGGGAGACGACCCAGAGAGCCUGGAGACCUGGCUUGGGGGAAGCCCUGUGGAUGCUUCUGGAGGCGGACACUUCCCUGCUGCUCUGUGCCUGGUAAAGGCACCGACCACUGCAGAGCAGAAGCAGAGUCCAAUCCUGGCUCCAAAGCGCCCCUGACUGCAAAGCUUUGGUACUGUUAUUACCACCGUGAAACAGGUGGGGAAACUGAAGCAUGAGGAGCUUGAGUAAUGUGUGUUAGAUCACGCAACCAGUAGUGGCAGAGCUGGAAUUCCGACCUGGGACUGCCUCCAAAGUUCUUGCGUAAGAAUACAGCUGCUACACUUGCCCUUCUUCAGCUGAGACCAAGGAGGGAAUUCUGAUUGAAAGCAAACCAGGGAGGAAAGAUGCACUAGCACUGACCUGUAACAGGUCAAUCUGUGCCAUGGCAUGGCGAGACGAAGUGGAGAACCCAUGUCUCAUUGGAAUCCCGGAUCAUCGUCUCCACGAAGGCUGUCUUCUGCAGCACUCCAGGGACUCACGGCUCUGGGCUUAUUGCUCAGUGUCAUGUGACAGAUGUUUUAGUGUUUAGUUGGAACCCUGGAUCUGCAGCAACCAUCUUGCUACCAACUUGAGGGUGAAGCCAGCCGUAAGAAUAGCAGGCCGGAAAGAUGGAAGAAACCUGGCUUUCCAAUGUCAUCAUUUGGUUGCUGAAUCAAUUGUACCUAAAGCUCACUCUAUCUGUUUUACCUUGAGUUAGGGUUGCCGUUGCUUGCAGCUAAACGCAUCUUCUUUUUUUUUUUUUUUUUUUUUUUUUUUGAGAAGGAGUCUUACUCUAUCACCCAGGUUGGAGUGCAGUGGCGCGAUCUCAACUCACUGCAACCUCCACCUCCCAGGUUCAAGUGAUUCUUGUGCCUCAGCCUCCCACGUAGCUAGGAUUACAGGCGUGAGCCACCACGCCCGGCUUAUUUUUGUAUUUUUGGUAGAGAAGGGGUUUCGCCAUGUUGCCCAGGCUGGUCUUUAACUUCUGGACCUUAGGUGAUCCACCCGCCUCAGCCUCCCAAAGUGCUGGAAUUACUGGCAAGAUCCACCACACCCAGUCUAAAUGCAUCUGAAUAUAACAUGACUCUCCUAGAGAAAAACCUGGAACCCAGAGCACCUGAAUAGAAACUCUUAAUUAUAUCAAUGAGGAAUAGUUAACUUAGCCAAGUUUCCAUUGAAUAUGAAGAACUGUAAAAUAAUGUCAGUUCUAGCCAAGAACUGAAAAGUAAUGUCAGUACUCUAUAAUGUGUAAUUCAUAGUUGCUACAUGUAAUCAGGCUUGGCCAAUUGUUUCCAGGAAGAUGGCACCCUCAUUUCUGAAUGAGGAUGACCAUUUUCCACUAAUCCAGAGGUAAAACAGUCAUUGUAACUGCACUGAAAUUUGCUGUAUCAAGUGAGACAUGAAGGUAAAUGUCAUUGGCCCAGAGUAAUUAGUCUUUUCCAGUGCUUAAAGGAAGGGAGAGAAACUAAUGCCUAUUGAGUGCCUUCAAAGCUUCUGCAAUGUGCUGGUACCCACAUGUUUCCAAUUAUUCCUCACAACACUAUGGAGAGGUUAUUUUGCCUGUUUUGCUGAUCAGGGAACUGAGACUCACAGAGUGACACCAACCCAUCAGUAUUUCAGGUUUCUGGGGAGGGUCCAGAGAGCAAGGGGGAAGCUGCUAAUUGCUUGUUGGUUCAAGAGAAAUGUUAUCUCAGUAGACUAACGUAUGGACUUUCUGAUGUCAGAAAAUGCAAACUAUGUAGUGUAACCUGUUUGCCAUUUUUUCUUUGUAUCCGCAAACUGACAGCAAAAUAUAUUGCACAAGUAUUAUAAAUCUGUUCAGUUCAAGUGCCAGAGAACAUUUACUCUGCUUCCUUCAUGAGGUAAUUCAAAACUUUGUUUUUAAUAUUUAUUGAGUGUCUGGGUAGGUAAACUGCUAUGCCGUCCUAUGGGGAAUUUCAGAUGUGUUGUCUGUGUGUGUGUGUGUGUGUAUGUGUGUGUGUGUGUGGUGUUUUCUGGUUUUGAUUGUUGACGUUUUCUUGAUUUUUUUUGACAGGAGCAUCUUUAGAUAUUUAUUUAUUUUAUAAUUCAUACAUACAUAUAGUAAAAAGUUCAGAUAGUUUUAAAAUAUAGUGAUGUGUAAAUCUCCCCUCACUUGUGAGCCCCAGGCAUUCAGCUCCCCUCCCUAGACGCAAUUAUUGUAGUCAGUUCAAAGCUUGUUUGUGCACAUACAAGUCUCUGUGUAUAUCCUCUACACACACCCAGAAGAGCAUACUAUACAUGCUCUAGACUGUGUUAUGUUUCUUUGAAUGGCUACGAUGUAAUUUAUUAAUCCAGUUCCCUAAUAAUAGGCAUUUAGGUACUUUUCAUGUUUUUCUCAAUGUGUAAUUGUACCAUUAAAAUUCUUGGGUUUUUUUUUGGUUUUUUGGUUUUUUAUUAAGAGUCUCGCUCUGUUGCCCAGGCUGGAGUGCAGUGGCGUGAUGUCAGCUCACUGCAACCUCCGCCUCCCAUGUUCAAACAAUUCUCGUGCCUCAGGCUUCCGAGUAGCUGGGAUUACAGUCGCCCACCACCAUGCCUGGUUAAUUUUUUUGUAUUUUUUAGUAGAGACAGGGUUUCACCAUGUUGGCCAGGCUGGUCUCAAACUCCUGACCUCGAGUGAUCCGCCUCUCUUGGCUUCCCAAAGUGUUGGGAUUACAGGCAUUAGCCACAGCGAAAAUCCUUGUAUUCAUGCCUUUGCCCAUGUUUGCAAGUAUAACUGGGAGAUAAAAUGCUAGAAUUGCAGGGUCCAAAAAAAAGCACAUUUUAAUUUUAACAACUAUAACCCAGUUGCCUUCCAAAGAGGCUGUACACAUGUUUCCCUGUCUCAAACAGUGGUGAGCAUGCCUGCUCCCCUACAAACUCACCAGCUCAGAGCAUUAUCAGGCUUCUCAUCUCUGCCAACCUGGUAAGUACAAAGGGCAUCUCUUGUAGUUUCGGUUGCAUUUUUCUCAUUAUGAGAUUGAGCAGCAGACAAUGUCUUUAAAAGACUUAUUUUGCUCUGGGUUUUAAUCUUAAAAUACUCUAAAUCCUCUUAGAAGUAGGUAGGGUCAGAUCUUCAAUCUGGAUGGAUUUACGUAAUGGGUCUAUGAAAGGGAUAGAAAGUCAAAGCAAGGGGGUGAGGCGGGGGAAUGAUGCGAAGUCAAAGCCCUCCCCCUCGGGGGCCCCUAGCCCAUCCCUGAUCCCUCACCCUUUGCAGGGCAUGUCCAGAGCUGCCACUGCCCUGGGCCUCCACCCCACAGCCCAGGACCACACCUUAACCUGGAAAGUCGUGGACCUCCUCAGGGGAGCUCAGGGAUCAGAUGGGCCGAUGGGUGUUACUGUGGCCAGGAGCACUGGGUCUUGAGUAUGUGGGUGGAACUUUCCCUCAUCCCCUGACCACGUCUAACCACAUGGCCUCUCCACUUUGAUAGUGGCGAGAAGAGUAGCCUCUUGCUUUUGCAUGUUUUCCUAAUCACAGCGUGCUUUCUUGUCUGCUAUUUCAUUUGACUUUUUUCAACCAGCCGCUGAGGUGGGGAUUAUUAGCACGCCCUUUGCAGAUGAGGAAACUGAAGCCCAGGGAGCUUUGGCAACCUGCCCAAGGUCACACAGCCAGUGAAGGAAAGGGCUGAAAUCAAACCAGGCCUGUCUGACUGCAAGGCAGGGUCUUACGGCUGCCUCCGGUGGGUAGGUCCGGGACCCAGCUGGUUUCCGUCCUGUGGCUCAGGUGCGAGGAGAGCCUCCCUGGGCCACCUGGGGAAGUCUGACUGACGUGCCAGAUCCUCACAGAACAAAGGUAAGGCCUCAGCCUUCCCCCUGGCCCAGGUCUUUCCAUGUCCAGUGCAUUCCUGAAUGCUCCCAGUACUCUGGAAAAUGGGGAUUCAUGCUGCCAUUUUAAUUGGAACCCAAUCUGUUCUGACUUCAAAUCUAGUGCUCCUUCUCCAUCCACCCACCCUCCCUGAACCAUGCCCAGGAGAUCGAGAGAUUUUCCUAAUAAACAAGUCAUGUGCUACAAUGCAUGUGCUACACAACCACUGCCCGCUUUGUCUCUCCCCCUAGGAGAGAAGGGGACUCCUGAGAGGCCCCAGCAGCGUUAUCUGGGCAGAGAAAGUGAGUUUGAAGACCUCACACUCCAUCUGGACUUUAUCAGCUCCUUUCCUGGGUAGGAUUACAGUAAACGAUUAUCUACAGAUCUGGAGCCAGCAAGGACUUUGAAGGCCCCAAUUGCCAAGGGGGUGGUGAAAUGGGGGAAGGGCUGGAGACGCAGGAGAUGAAAAAGCAGUGCAGGCAUCUUAUCUUCCUCCUGAAAUCAAACAGGCUGGGCCUGGGCAGGGUGGGAGAGGUACCCUGUCUGUGAGGCUGACAGUCUCUAGCCCUGGCUGGCCACAAAAGAUACAGAGAGAACCAGAUGAAGGCCCUUCACUGUCUUCUCCUGAUCCUCUCUCCCUCCUCCUGGUUUCUUUUAUUAAUUCAUUCAUUCACUUGCAUCUUUCAGCCUGUUAGUUACAAUAUCUGACACGCUCUGAGCUCUCCCGCCAAGCCAAGUGCUUAGCAUCCAUCCCCUCAUGUGGUCUUCACCAUGACCUUCUGGGAGAGGUGCCAGAAUUAGGCCCAUUUUACAGAUGAGGAAAAUGAAGCCCCAGAGGCUAAGUAAUAGGAUGAGCCUGGGAUCACACAGCUAGUAAAUGGUAGGGUCUGGAUUCUCUUAAACCUGCAUACAUUUAUUCUUCCAUUUCCCCCUGCCUGCCUGCUUUCCUCUCAUAAUUCAUUUAUGUAUUCAGUUUUUCAUAUUCCCAUUGCUUGUUCAUUUUGAAGUUCCUUCCCUUCUUGCUUAUGCAUUUCUUCUGUCCCUUCCUGUCUUCCUCCUGUCUCUUCCUUCCUUCCAUGACCACAUCCUGAGCCUACUGUGUGCCCUGUCACCCUGCCAUCAGGACAUGGGGCUCCUGACAGAUGACUGCUGGGGAGGGAUAUGUGAGACCACCUCCUCCAGGGUCGACCUCCUCAAAUGAGGCUUUUGGGCUGUGCCUCCCUAUGCCUGAUUUGUCCCAGUGUUUGCCAAAAAUUUUAGGCUUUGAUAAUCUUGUGAAGAUGUUUCAGCCAAGCAAGUCUUGAGACUCCAUUGGUGUGGGAGUAAAAGUGGCCUGGGGAAGCCACUUCUUGCAGUUUCCCCUAAGCAAGGCUCUUUCUGUCCUUGCUGUUCUGACAUCCACUCCCUCAGCAAACAUCAUUAAGGACCUAUCAUGGGCAGCCCCUGGGGCCCACUCCCAUCCUCUAGCUGUCUCGAUUUCAUACCUCCCUAGCUCUAGAAAAUUCACUCCUAGAAGGCAGGGAAUUGGCGUCAAGGAACGGGUUCACAGCCUUGGACUCCUUUAUUCAUUCAUCUUUUUUCCUAGCACCUAACACAGGGCCUGGCUUAGACUGAAGGCUAAUAAAUACAGGAUCAAAAGGCAGUGAACCAUCAUUCUCUGUCACUCUCCAGGAGCUGGCCCACUCACCGUGCUAGACAUUGUACUGGAUAUAGUAGUCCCGCAUCGUUGUAUCACUCUCAUUUCUAGCUGGAGAAGUACCCCUCCUUUUCUAGGUGCGGUUAUGGGGUCGCUAUCACCUGAAGUGCCCGCCACUCACCCUGUAGUCUUGGGUGGGUAUGUGAUCUCAGCUAAAACAGUCGAGGUCUCUCUCCCUGGGCUUGGAAUUGUAAACCAAGUGAUGCAGAGAAAGAAAAAACACAAGCCCUUGGAGCCCAUCACAUCCCAUCACCGAUGAGGCUGUCCAGCGGUUCUGGCCCUCAGAAGCCCCAGAGAACUCCAGUUUCUGUCCUUUUCCGAGUGUGGCUUUCUGUCCACUUUAUGGCUGCUCAACCUCCCUCCAGUAUGCCCCUUCUCCCCUUAGUCAGUGAAUGUCUGUUUCUGUGCUUGCAAAUGAUAAAUCCUAAAUGAUGCCCCAGGACAUGGUUUCCAAGGCCAGCUAUUGGAGCCUCACCAGAAAUGUUCAUUCUGCCUCAUCAGUGUCUUGGCUAUUGCCUUUUUGGAACUGCUCUGACCUCUCCUCUUUCCAUCCUGCAGCACCCCCUCUCUCAGCACCAGGGAGCUCCUCCAGGAGCACUUCCUCCCAUGUCUGUGUUCGCCGUUAAGACUGGACACACCAGGAUGAUCUUUCAACUUUGGGUCCAAAGGCCCUCAGUGGAUGUAAAAUAGGUACAUGAGGCCUUGAACUGAACAUUUUUUUCACUUCACCAUAACCUGGAUUUUCCCAGUUUAGGAGCAUCUGUUUGUCUUGAUAACGUUUGGAACAAAGUGAAAAAAACUGGACUUUGAAGAGAACUUCAGGUGAAUUACACAUUUAAGUCAGAUUUUCCAUGUCUUUGUCCCAUGUUCAGUAAUUCAAGCUGUUAGGAGCCCUCAACUUUGUACAUAUAUUUCCUUCCUAUCUCUGCCUCUUCAUACCUGGUACUUACCGUGGAAUUUGAAAUCUUUCUGUGGCUGUAAGCAAGAAAGGCGGGAAAAAUACAAGAAGUUAAAGGGGAUUGGAUGGUUCAGAUUUGGUUGAUGAAUGAGAUGGUUUAGAGGCAUGUCUUGUAAGAGAUAAUUUUCUAUGUGCCAGGUACUAUUUAUGAAUCCCACAUUAUCUUAUUAAUGCUCACAACAAGCCUUGGGGGUAAAUAGAUUAUCAUCGCCAUUUCACAGAUUAGGAAAGUGAGGUUUCAGCAGUCAAUUGCUCAAAGGUCUCCUGCUAGUGAAACAGUCGUCUAUCCAAACAGUCUGAAUGACCUGUGCACAUGGGAACGUGCCACGCAAGCCAAGGGCAGGAAGGAUGAGAAGAGGUGGGCAGAAAGCCAGCUGGGAUGAAUGAAGGACCUACUACGUGCAGGCCCAGGGUCAGACAUUUUAUUUUCUUGAUUGCACUUCAGCCUCCCAGCAGCCCUGUUUUACAGAUGAAGAAACUGAGGCUCAAAGAGCUGGAGAAAGUUGUUGCCCAGGGUCCUGUGGAGAGAAAACUCAAGCUCCGGCUGUUCCACUACUCUGGGACACCACCCCCAGUGGGAACCCCACUUUUACAAGGAUUCGAAGGUAGGUGAGGACUUAUCUCCUGAAAUAAUUAGUAUACUUACUUUUUUGUUACAUAUUCCCACUAAAGGUUUGCAGCCCCACCCAGCUUGAAUAUCAGGAGAAUGGCAACAAAAUCUGGUUCAAGGCUCACAGAAUCCACGAAAGAUGCCAGCCCCUCCACGGUUGGAGAGUGAUUCACAAAUGUGUCUUUAAGGACUUUCCCAGGCCGGGCACAGUGGCUCACACCUGUAAUCCCAGCAAGCCGAGGCGGGAGGAUCACCUGAGGUCAGGAGUUUGAGACCAGCCUGGCCAACAUGAUGAAACUCCGUCUCUACUAAGAAUACAAAAAUUAGGCAGGCGUGGUGGCAUGCACCUGUAAUUCCAACCACUUGGGAGGCUGAGGCAGGAGAACUGCUUGAACCGGGGAGGCAGAGGUUGCAGUGAGCCAAAAUCACACCGCUGCACUCCAGCCUGGGCAACAGAGUGAGACUGUGUCUCAACAACAACAACAACAACAACAAACAGAAAAAAAAGAAAAAAAAAGGACUUCCCCAUCUCAGAGCAGAAGACAAACCCAGGUGACUCUGAGUCUGCACAGAAAAGGCAAGGGUGACCAAGAGUGAGGAGGUUAAGCACCUGUUGCUUUCAGCUCAGGUCCUGACCACAGCCCUUAAUAAGGACAAACCUCUCAGAUUGCUGCAGCCUUCAAUACGCAUGUUCCUAUAGUGCCUGGCCAAUAAGAAGUACUUACACAGUAGCUGUUAUUAUUGUAAAGGCGGCGCAAAGAGUUAAGGAAGGCCGGUAGCUAAGCUGAAUCUGAGUUGCAUCUUGUAGGCCAUGGUAUGUGAAAGAAGGGCAGGCCAGGAGGGGGAACAGAGUGAGUAAAGCCCAGAGGCAGGGGCAUGGAAAAGCAGGGAGGAGUUAAGCUUGGGGCAAAUAUCCUAAAUGAAGGGGAAUAAAAGGCAACAAAGUUUGCAAGUUGCACCGGGGCCACAUCUUGGAGUUGUUUGAGAACAUGUCCCAUGAGGCUGCAUUUAACACCAGCCACUCGCGCUUCCACCCCAACAGCAGGAGUAUCACAUCCACAUGCCAUGUGCGCAAUUCCUUACUUUAUAUCCUCCUCUAAGAUAAAUCUACCCUCCCUCUUUUUUAAGCAUAAGAGCAUUUAUUCUAAAAGGAAACUUUUGGCCAGGCAUGGUGGCUCACGCCUGUAAUCCCAGCACUUUGGGAGGCCUAGGCUGGUGGAUCAUGAGGUCAGGAGUUCGAGACCAGCCUGACCAACAUGGCAAAACCCCGUCUCUACUAAAAAUACAAAAAUUAGCCGGGUGUGGUGGCACGUGCCUGUAGUCCCACCUACUCGGGAGGCUGAGGCAGAAGAAUUGCUUGAACCCGGGAGGCAGAGGUUGCAGUGAGCUGAGAUCACACCACUGCAGUCCAGCCUGGGCAACAAAGCAAGACUCUGUCUCAAAAAAUAAAUAAAUAAAUAAAUAAAAGGAAACUUUUGCUCACUAAUGGAAAUGGAAGUGGCACCUGUCAUAGGCAGAGACAAAUUGUCAAAGUAAACAACUUUUAAGUCUCACUAGACACUCCUGCCCCAGCAGAAUCUGGUCAAAAGCUAGGUCAGCAAAUUUCAGAGGCAGUAUUAAGGACAAAGUAGCAACAAUCCAAACUUUCUUUUUAGGUACUCAGAAAGACUAACAGAACAUUGAGAAGGGGUGUUAGUCACAUCCCCAAACUGCAAGAGGCCAGAAGAUAGCGAGGGGUCUUUCAAACAAUCUAAAAUCUGAGACCCCAAUGUUGGAAAAGAGAAGGAAGGGAAUGGGUUAAAGUGCCAGUUGCUCCCUCCUCAGAUAGCAGGGCCCUGGACAUCCCUAAGAUGUCCCCUUCCUCUUUCAUCCUUCCCUGAUUCCAGCCUCCCCACCUUCCCCAGGCUGGCUUGCCUGAUUUUGUGAGCUCUUCAGCCGGCUUAAAGUGUAAUUCUGUAUUUCUGAUUCUAUCUGUGUUCCAGGAGGCAUUAUCUCUAUCUCUGUAAUAGCUUCUCAAGCAAAAACAUUUUACUGGGUAAAAGAGCAAGGAAUAGGCAUGACCUGAUGCUGAUUUAAAGCAAGAUUCCAGGCAAGCCCCAGAGCCCUCUCUAAGUAGCCUCUCUCCUUUCUGCUGUCUAACGAAACAGCUCCUAAUGGCCAUGGUAUCAUAUUGUAUCUCAUAUUUACACAGCACUCGGCACACAUUCACUUAUUCAGCGGACAUCCAUUGAGGGCCUAUUAUGUGCCAAGUCUUCUGGGUGCUGGCAAUCAACAGUGAACAAAGACCCGUGAGGUUCUUGCUCUACUUGGGAAAACAGGCAAUAAACUCUGAAACAAGUAAAUAAACACGAUCAUGAUGAGGCUACUGAAAAAGCAAUGUGGUAGCAGCGUGACGAUGAUGUGCCAUGGGAGACAGGUGGCAACAUCAAAAAAGGUAGACUGCCCCCGCCCUCCGAAGAGGUGGCAUGUGAGCAAGAAGGAGCCAGCCAAUGGAAAGCUCUGAAAGCAGAGUCUUUUAAAAACAAAACAAAAUCAAAAAACAAAAACAGGGCUCAAAGAAGAUGUCUGCACUUCUGCCAGACGGGGCAGAAAGAAGAUAAUGGUGCUCCAAUCAGGGAGACUGUGGAGGCAGUACAGGUGACAGGAGGCAGGGAAACGAGAAUUAGCCAGAAACACAGUAGGUUUGCCAUGUCAGUCAGACACUCGAGUGUGUUCUUGCUCUUCUCAACAAACCAUAAAGUAAGGACGAUCAGUGUUUCCCAUUUUACAGACAGGAAAACUGAAGCUCGGGAAGGCUACCCAGGUACAUAGGGGCAGUGGUGGGAUGUGAAUCUAUGGUUUAGGAUGCUGACGCCAGCACUAUCCCACCUGCCUCAUGGUAGAGCAGUGUCCAGACACAGAGGUGGCAAUGCAGCAGCUCAAGUGGCAGCUCCAGCACUGCAUGUGUUUUGUCCGUUCUACAUGGGUUUGGAAAAACUCACCUGAGCUAGCGAUCAACUCUUAAAUAUAACCCUUCACUCAAAAAUCUGGCUGUCUAUCUGAAAAUAUUUGAAGACCUGGUCAUAGUGGGACCAUGAUUUGAAUGACAACAAUGGGCUGGAGCAGUAUCUCUGCCCACCUUGAGAGAGGGAUGGGCACUCUGUUUUUCCACAGCCCCCACCUCUCCCGAUUGCUUGCCCCGGCCCCUUCACUCCUCUCCAUUGCAUUCAUGGCCUCCCUAUGCAUUCGGCUUUGAGGCCCCAGCUCUCUAGUGAUGAAAUAUGUGGGAAGAUCCACAAAGCCCAGCAAACGAGGAGUGACCAGAGGAAUUGAGUUACAGUUCCUCCCUAGAACACUUUCCUGCCUUUCUGAUGUAAUCACUUUGCGCAAACAGUAGGAAAUGUUCAGAAGAGCUGCUACAAGGCGGUGAUUAAGAGGUCAGGCCUGGUUCUUAAUUCUAGCUUCAGCAAGUCCUAUCUGUGGGACUUGGGCAAGUUCUAAAAACCUCAGUUUCUUUAUCUGUAAAGCGCAAAUAAUAAUAAUGCCUACUUUAUAAGUAGGAUUAGGGGAAACAGUAAUUUAGGAAACGUGCUCGGAAUGAUGCUAGUUUCGUGGUGAGUAUCCAAUAGAUGGAGCCGUAGUUGUCUUUCUCAUCUUAGAAAGCAGCUGAUUCUCCCAUGUCAUGACAGUGUUUGUGCAACUCCUCUGGAAUUCUCUCCUUUCUUCCUUAGGAGAGCAUUUUCUCAAUGUUCCUCUUUAUCUUUCUCCAAACACAAAGACAAAUCUAAGAGGAAAAAAAAAAUCUUCAAACUGGGUCGCAGAUACUCAGCUUCUUGUCAAUUCUCAUUAGGGUUUAAAAGCUCAGUCUCCUGCAUAUGCCCAAAGAUAAAGCAAUCCCUUCCAUUCCUAAUUCAAAGAACCAAAAAAAAAAAAAAAACAUGUGGUUGGACCUGGUUGAAUAUAUAAACUUUUGGGGAUGGCAAUAAACUAGGCAAAGUCCUGGUUAUUCAAUUUAUUAGCUCAGUUGUGCAACGUAGAAAUAAACAGAAAAUUACUUAUAAUUUUACAAUAAUAUUCAUUUAGAAACAUCACUUUUCUCCAUAUACGUGUUGCAUGAAACAGCUUUACUCCAUUCUUUGCCACACAUAAGGAGGCCGAGGAGGGAAGAUGGCAUGAGGCCAGGAAUUCAAGGCUGCAGUGAGAUAUGAUUGCACCACUACACUUCAGCCUGGGCGACAGGGUGACACCUCAUCUCUAAAAAAUAAAAUAAAAUAAUAAAAAAAUUUUGGAAAUUUUUAAAGCGUCUGCUCCACAGAGCCACAUUUUGCAUUGUGCAGUUUCGUUUUUCAGACCUUUCUCCUCUCUUCCAUCUGACUGCCCUGAGAUCCAGCACUUUUUGCUUCCACAUCUGAGGCUGUCGCUGGAAACAAGGUCUCCAUCCCAUUUGCAUGACAUGAGCACAGUCGGGAUUUGUAUUCAUUCUGUGGGUGUGUGUAUAUUCGUGCUCUCCACAAAAGAACCACUCAGCAUUGCUUUUUCAAGCCGAGCUUUAAAAGGCUUAUUUGCCAUGACAUCCAGCACUUGUAAUUUGAGGUCAUACCCCGAGGAAGAAUUGCUAAAUCUGUGUAAAAUGUUUCUGACUCCUUUUCUUACAGAUUCUGUCAGAUUAUCUCUUUAAGAAUUCUAAGCCCAUGUUGUUUGAGGUGGUUUUAGGCUAAUGUACAUUCCCCAAACAUUUCUUUGCUGUUCAAAAUAAAGCAAUUGAGAGGGUUCUUCGUAAAAACGAAGCACUUUGCAAGAGCUCAAGACAAAAGACAACUCCCUUUUUUCUAGGGGGUAAUUUUGAGGAUAGAAGAAAAACAGUGUUCUAUGUAAGCCUGUACAAUCACGAGAGCCAUUUGCUGAGGGCCAUGUGUGCGAGUGGUUCGUGUGCUCUCCACCUCCUCUUCUUCCUCCCAGGGGAUGAAAUGAGGCCCAACAAGUGCAAGACAUGGACCAUGUCAGCUCGUGACAGAACAGGGCUGGAACCCAAGUCUGCUAGGCUCAGCCCACUCCCUCCCUGUGCCGAGUUGACAUAUUCUACUUACAUUAAGCCAAGUGCUGGGCUCUGAUUAUACAAAAUCAGAUAAGCCAGGACCCUGUGUUCAAGGAGCUCCCAGGCCUGCUGGGGUGAGAGUGGAGCAGCAAGGAUGGAAGUGCACAGAUGCAAGGGUGGCCAGGCCUAUGGGGAUACAGGCAAGGGAGGCUGAGUGUU
rnacentral:lncRNA from 1 species